UACGUAGGGGCGAGCGUUGUCCGGAUUAUUGGCGUAAAGAGCUCGUAGGCGGUUCGAUAAGUCAGGUGUAAAAACUCCAGGGCUCAACUUGGAGAGGCCACCUGAUACUGUCGUGACUAGAGUCCGGUAGAGGAGCACGGAAUUCCGUGGUGGUAGCGGUGAAAUGCGCAGAUAUCAGGAAGAACACCCGUGGCGAAGGCGGCGUCUCUGGGACGGUACUGACGCUGAGACGCGAAGCGUGGGAGCGAACAG
rnacentral:rRNA from 1 species